rnacentral:lncRNA from 1 species
AACCGAAGCAACCGCUCGGUCAACCCCAGAUCGUUCGGGGCUCUUAACCGCUUCGGGCCUGCCAGAUGCCUCGGGAAGAUCGGACGCCUCGGGCCCUCUGGACCCCUCGCUCAAAGGUCUGAAGGCCGCCUCGAGAGCUCUUUUCUGCUCGGCCGCUUCCUUCUCGGCAGCCUUUUUCUCCCUUAGUGUCAUUUUCGCCUUUUGCAUCUCCAUGUAGCCGCUUAGUCUGUGAUCCGAAGAAGAUGACGAGGACGAACAGGACACGCCUCGGAGUAAUCUCAACGCUUUCUCAACUCUUUUAAGCGUGAAAUGUUU